rnacentral:lncRNA from 1 species
UCUAAAUAGAUCCUGGCCAGGUACUUUGCUUCCCUCUUUUUGCUGCCAUCCUGAGUUUCCAUGCCUCAGGGGGUCUUUGUCACUUCAUCAUUAAAUUCCAUUGUUCUCCCCUAGAGACUUUGUUCAACUUGCAGUUAUCUAUUCAUACUUGUUAUUUUUGUUCUUCUUUGUAGAGGAGACACAUGCUAGGUGCCUCUAGUCAGCGAUCUUGAUGACAUCUUUGUUUUGGACUUCUAAUGACAUGAUGAAGAAAGUGAAAAACAAGCCACAGAUGAGUGGGCACGUUGGGCCAAGCACUGUUCUAGACAUAAAUAUUUCAUAGAGAUUCAUCAACACAAGUUGCAAUAAAACACGAAAAAGAUUGAUGUAAUGUUUCUGUGAUAGGCAGCCUCUAAGAUGAUCUACAGAUCUCUACUUCUUGAUAUUCAUCAUCUUACUGUAGGCUGGUCCACCUAGCAUCUCUAAGCAGGAUACUGAAAAAAAGUAUCGAAUGAGCUGCCGCUUCUGAGAUUAUGUUAUGAGCUACUGUGUCUUCCAGUUAGCUCACCCCUCUCUUGCUUACUCAAUCUGUGGUAAACCAGCUGUCAUUGCUGCCUUCUGCCCUAUAUGGAGGCACAAAAAAGAAGGAAUGGAGGGAGGCACCCAGCCAAGAGCCAGUGAGGACCGGAGACCUGCCAGCAGCCACACGAGUGAGGCUGGAAGCACAUCUGCCUCCAAUUUAGUCUUGAAAUAACUGCAGCCUCAGCAGACACCUAAAUUGCAGCCUUGUGAAAGACUCUCAGCCAGGGGCUCCCAGCUAAGCUGUGUAUGAGUUUUUGAACUAUAGAGACUGUGAGAGACUACAUUUUUGCUGUUUGUCUCUAGGUUUUGGGGUAAUUAGUUAAGCAGAAAUGAACAGAGUUGCUAAUAGAAAUAAUACAGUGGUUUUACUUUGGAAGAAAUAUAUUUUAAUCUAAGAUCAAGUCCUUUCUCUGAUUUGGGUGUUAAAAUGGCUUAUAUUUUUUGAUAUUAGAGUGACAAUAUAUUCUCUCUUUCUUUAAGCCUAUAGUUAGUAAAAUAAGUAUAUUUGAGUCCCACAGAAUUUUUAAAAAUGGUUUUCCAAUUAAUAAAAUCAAAAGUUUGACAAUAAGUUUUAAAUUAUUCCCAUAUCAUUUACAUUCUUCUAUGAUCAUUAUUUUGUGUAAAAUGCUAUAAAUAUUUUUUUAUGUUUGUUUUCUCUAAAUAAACUGUGAGUUUCUAAAGUA